rnacentral:tRNA from 1 species
GUAUUGGUGGUUCAGUGGUAGAAUUCUCACCUUCCACGUGGGAGACUCAGGUAAGAUUUCCGGCCAACGUA